UGCCCAGCAACUCCUAUCCCUACCACCGCAUGGUACCGGCUGGAAACUACGAGCAACCUUAGGGAAGAUCGGCCAACCAACCCUGGUGAAAAAUUUGGUCGUUGGCUGACAGGGAAGG
rnacentral:ribozyme from 1 species